rnacentral:tRNA from 1 species
GGGGUUGUAGCUUAGUGGUAGAGCACUUGCCUAGCAUGUGGGAGGCACUGUGUUCAAUUCUCAGCACCA